rnacentral:rRNA from 1 species
AAACAUUGAAUGCAGAUUACAUAUAACAUUCCGCCCGGGUACUACAAGCACGUAGCUUAAAACCCAAAGGACUUGGCGGUGCUUAACAUCCACCUAGAGGAGCCUGUUCUAUAACCGAUACCCCCCGUUAAACCUCACCCCCUCUCGAUACCCACAGCCUAUAUACCGCCGUCGUCAGCCCACCCUGUGAAGGUCUAACAGUAAGCAGAGUUGGCAUAGCCCAAUAAGCCAGGUCGAGGUGUAGCCAAUGAGGAGGAAAGAAAUGGGCUACAUUCGCUAUCCACAGCGAACACGAAUAACGUAUUGAAACAUACGAUUGAAGGAGGAUUUAGUAGUAAGCAGGAAAACAGAGCGUCCU